CGGUCACGAGGACACAUGGAUGGUGACGUCACUCGAUCUGCCCGGGGAACAAUCAGAGGCAGCGCGAGCGCUACUUGAAUGGAUUGUUGUCGGUGAAUAACUUUGCUGCUGGGUUCUCCCCUUUUGCCCACCGCUCGCAUUUUCUGCCUUUUAUCUUCUAAUAUCUGCGAGUCAAAAUUGAACUAAAUGGUAUAUGAAGCACUUAACACCACUCGGAAAAGUGUGUUAGCGACAAACCCCUGAGGUCUGUGUGUGCGGCUUAACUUUUGCAAAGUGGGUGUCCUGGGAUCUGUUGGAAUCUGAAUGGACUAAUAUGAAGAGCCUGAAGGCAAAGUUUAGAAAAAGUGAUAUCAGCUUUCAAUUGACCAAUCAAAUGUUUACAGCUCUCAGGACCAAUCAGAUAAAGCCCCAGACGACCAAUCAGUGUGAAUCUGGCGGUAAAGCGGAUGAGAAUGGGCACAGCAGGUAUCUGCACUAAGAAGAUGGUUUCUGUAUUAGGACAGACCCAGCUGCCCGGCUCCUAGAGAUUAGCAAAUCUAGCCCCAACACCCCCUCCCUUUAACCACAGGCUUUUCCGUUCACGUCCCUUCUGGUCUACAUAUUACAUCCUCCGGCCUAAUACAGCUAUCCCAGACUCUAGUUUUCAUUUGCCUUGUUUUCCCUGCAUGUAAUUGUGGCUUGAUAUAUUGCAGCCCUGAUAGUAUAAGAUGGCUCGUUUGUAUCUCCUUCGUGACUUAAGACAUUCUGUGAGCUUUCAAAUUGGUUUAGUAAUGACUCAUCUCAGUAACAGUUGUCAGUGGUGAAGUAAUGACAGGCUUUCCAGGUUGAGAAAUUAGCCGUCAGGAUGAAUCAAACACGUCUGGCUCUGGACUACUAACUGUUAAUAUUAUUGCUUCAGGAAGCUCAUCCCAGAUAAUUCUUUGAGUGUGUGUUGAUUGCACACUCUCUUUCCUUUUUUAUUUUUUUUGGACAUUAUCUUAAUGUAGAAGACUGUGGGUGUUACCUGGUGGAAAUAGUAGGGCUGUUAAUUUAAUGAGAUUUAUUAUCAAUCACAUUAAUUAUAAAAAUGCAAUUAAAAUGUUUAUGCAAUUAAACAGGAUGAUUAAACAAAUUCUGUAAAGAAGAGUCUUCCUAGAGGUACCUUCUUCAUGUUUGUGCCAGGCCAGAUUCUAGGGGCAUUACUAGGAUGGUUGCUUUAGUAGGGAAUUAAUGUCAAAGAGAUAAAAGGACAUAAAAUUCAAUUGAAAUUAUGGUUAAAAAUGUUACUAUUGUAAAUGUACAAAUGCUACCUUAACCACAAAGGAGAAAAUCCAAGGGUGGACAGGACCCCCCCAUCUGAGGUUGUCCCCCCUCAAAAUAUGAUUAAAAACACACUGUAUUGUAAAUAACAGUGUUUUAUACUUUUAAUAAUUGUGUAGGUAGUAAAACAA